UACGGAGGGUGCAAGCGUUAUCCGGAUUCACUGGGUUUAAAGGGUGCGUAGGUGGGCUAGUAAGUCCGUGGUGAAAUCUCUGAGCUUAACUCGGAAACUGUCGUGGAUACUAUUAGUCUUGAAUCUCGUGGAGGUAAGCGGAAUAUGUCAUGUAGCGGUGAAAUGCUUAGAUAUGACAUAGAACACCGAUAGCGAAGGCAGCUUGCUACACGAGUAUUGACACUGAGGCACGAAAGCGUGGGGAUCAAACAGG
rnacentral:rRNA from 1 species